rnacentral:lncRNA from 1 species
UGUCAUUUGACUACAUAAUCCACAUUAAGCAAACUAAGAAAGAUAAUUAAUGCUACAUUAUAAUAGAAAACCUAGAAAGGAAAACAAGGAACCUUACUAACUCUGCAGCAAUAGAUCUGUAAAAGAAUUUUAAAACCACAAAGUAUUUUCUUGAAAAGCUCAUUUUGCACAAUUCAAUAAUGCAAGCCUCUUAGUUUUACAAGAACUCAGAUCCAACAUACUUACUUGAAUAAAAUUUAGCAAUGAUGGCCACACACAAACAAAUUUGAGAACAUAAGAAAAACAGUCACCUUUCCCCUAAACUGGUGAAGCAAGAAAUACCUCAACUGGCAUCGGCGGUGUUGGCAUGGUUGAUGUUGGGAGGCGGCGCGGGUGCUCUUCCGGCUGAAAUUGCGGCUGGCUCGGAGGCAUCGGGUUUUCUCCGGCUAGGGAAGAGAAGAGGGAGCCGGGAAGAGGGGACGGGGCGGCAUCGGGUUUCUCAGCGGCGGCGGCAGCCAUUGAUGGUUAAAGAGAGGUAGAGAGAGAGAGGGAUGCAAAGAGGGAGGUGACACAAAAGUAGAAUUAAUA